GCGCCGGUAGUAUAAUGGCUAGAGUUUGUGCGUUAAAACACACAAGCGGCUUAAAUUUCGGCCUUCCAAGUCGGAGAUCCGGGUUCGACCCCCGGCCGGCGCA
rnacentral:tRNA from 1 species